rnacentral:lncRNA from 1 species
AGCCAUUCAAAGAAGAGCUGAUGUCAUUACAGAAUUUAUAGAGGCUGCCAUACACUCCAUACUGUAUGUCAGAGGAGUUUAUCCAGCAGCUAUUUUUAAACCCAGAAGAAAAUAUGGGACAACAGUUCAUGUGAGUUUUUUAUAACUAUGCGU